GACUCCGAAUUGACAGAGACAUGAUCCUCAUAUUUGGAAAACACUAGCUUCUCUCUCUGCAAAAAUGAUUUCUAAGAGAUUAUUUUUGCUAUACUGAUUGAUUGUGGUAUGGAGCCACACAUGCAAAGCUAUUUAUUUGAUGUGUCCCAAUUUGUACCGGCUGGGGUAGAGUGUGGGAAAAUACAGAAUUUUUCACAAUGUAUCGAAAUAAUGUAUUGUAAAGACAUUGUGCUUCUACACCUGCAUUGUUUGCUGUUUGGGGUUUUAGGCUGGGUUUCUGUACAGCACUUUGAGAUAUCAGCUGAUGUAAGAAGGGCUUUAUAAAUACAUUUGAUUUGAUUUGUGUAGUUUCACGCACUACAAAGGGUAAAGAGUGCGAGAAAAGUUGGAGACAGGCAGAUGGGCAGGGAGACAGACAGACAGACAGGUUCUUGGUACUAUGUUGAAACAGCAGGCCCAGGGAGGAGGAAGACAAGAGUGAAGUCCCACAGCAAACCUUUUUGUUUAAUUUUGAUGUGUUUGUACCUACACACCCACCUUUCCACACUUUUAUUACACUUGGAUAAACACAUAUGUAAUAUAAAUGUGUAGGGGGGUGUGCACUCAAUGAAAAUGUAAUCUUUUACAUGUUCGUCACAGAAAAUGAGCCAAGGCCAAUGGUUAAAUUUAUUUUUUAUUGUAUAAUAAAUAUUUUAGUAAACAUUGAAAAUGUAACCACACAAGGGUUAAGUAGUAAUCAAAAAUGUGAGGAUAAUCAUUUAUCCAUUGCAUCUGGGUUGGAUCUGAAAAAGUGUGUCUUCUCAUUUCAGAUCGGACGUGAUUACUUUCAAAUAGUUUACAAAUUAAAAAAAUUGCUAUAAAUGCCAUAAGCAAUUUAUUUAUUAAAGUAUUUAUGUUAAGUUCUUUAUGAAUUAGAGAUAUUCUUGCAAUUCUGUUUUCUGAGUGUGGAUUUCCCUUUCUUCCAGAUUGAGGAGUUGUCCCAACAAGCUCAGCUGGCAGCGGCAGAGAAGUUCAAGGUCCAGGGAGAAGACAGAACGUCCAGCAUCCAGGAGAACACACAGAAGCCCACAGUAUACAAGAGGAGAGCAGAGAGGAAGAGGUUGAUGAGACAGCCGUGAAGGACAUUGAACUGGUGAUGUCACAAGCCAAUGUGUCUCGACUGAAGGCUAUAUGAGCGCUCAAAAGCAACAAUGACAUCGUCAAUGCCAUCAUGGAGCUGACCAUGUAAACACCUAACAACCAUGAGGACCAGGUCCAGUCCAACCUUUUAAUAGACGUUGUCUGAAUUUAUUUCAAGGCUAGAAAUAAAGUUGUUGAAUAAGGAGCCAGCAGCAUACCACCCUGCAUACCACUGUUGGCUUGCUUCUGAAGCUAAACAGGGUUGGUCCUGGUCAGUUCCUGGAUUGGA